UGACAUUUGCAUACAAGCAUGCAUUAGUAAAUAAGAUGUAUGGGAGAGGCCUUAAGUUUGCAACCAAACUCGUAGAAGAAAAACCAACAAAAGAAAACUGGAAAAAUUGUAUUCAACUGAUGAAAUUACUUGGAUGGACUCAUUGUGCAUCUUUUACUGAAAACUGGCUCCCCAUCAUGUAUCCUCCUGAUUAUUGUGUAUUCUAAAAUAAGAACCAAAACUUUAAAUUUCAAAACAGAAAAUUUUAUAGUGAACGGAUAUAUGAACAAAUGUGUUGGAUUUUUAGUCUAACUAAUGCAUGUUUUCAUCCACUAUCCAAUACUGAUCAUUAAAACUAUAUGUAUUUAUCAGAGAACUCAAUGGCGUGUGGCUUAAUACAUGUAAUAUAGACCUCUGACAUCAUGCUGCUUUCCUACUGCCUCCUACACUUGGAAAGGGGAGGGCAUAUCCUGCCUGCCAGCCCCAACACUGAGUUGGAUGCAGCUGCUUACUGCAUGAGAGGUUUUCAUCUUUUUAUUUUAACUGUAAAAUGUCAUCCUGGUUUUUAUUUUAUAAAUCAAUCAAAAAGGUCAAAAUAUGCUAAAUUUUUCAAAUUAUAUAGAGGCCUUAAAAUGCUACAUUAGGUGUAGCUAAAUUAUUUAUCUGACUAAAAAUUAUGAGAACAUAAUUUCCAGACUUUUUUCUAAAAAUAAAUUUAGUUAAUGGAAAUGGUGGGGGGCAUAAACACAUGGCAACUAGGGAAAGAAACAUGUUAACUCUUCACUAAGGAGUCAUAACAAACAAGUUGUUUUUACGGCAUCCUCAACUGCACAGCAUCAGAAUGAGUUAAAGUUUCUUGUGUUGGUGCCAGGCAGCUGAAUCUAUCUGGUUUUGUAAAGGUAUACACAGUAUGUUUAUAACAUUGAAAUCAUGUAAAAUACAUGAAUAAAUGUGCAAAACCACAGGCACAGUACACCAUAUGCACUCUGAUACCUUUUAUAUAUACAUAUAUAUAUAUAAAUAAAAGAAAAUAUUGAAGCUA